rnacentral:tRNA from 1 species
GGGUCCAUGGUCGGAAAUGGCAGACACGGGCGCCUAUCAAGCGUCUGCUCGCAAGAGCGUGCGGGUUCGAGUCCCGCUGGACCUACCA